rnacentral:rRNA from 2 species
UGGGGAAUAUUGGGCAAUGGGGGAAACCCUGACCCAGCGACGCCGCGUGAGGGAAGAAGGUCUUCGGAUUGUAAACCUCUGUCUUCAGGGACGAACAAAUGACGGUACCUGAGGAGGAAGCCACGGCUAACUACGUGCCAGCAGCCGCGGUAAUACGUAGGUGGCAAGCGUUGUCCGGAAUUACUGGGUGUAAAGGGAGCGUAGGCGGUAAGGCAAGUUGAAUGUGAAAUCCAUCGGCUCAACUGAUGGGCUGCGUUCAAAACUGUCUUUCUUGAGUGAAGUAGAGGCAGGCGGAAUUCCUAGUGUAGCGGUAAAAUGCGUAGAUAUUAGGAGGAACACCAGUGGCGAAGGCGGCCUGCUGGGCUUUUACUGACGCUGAUGCUCGAAAGCGUGGGGAGCAAACAGG